rnacentral:tRNA from 1 species
GUCCCUAUAGCGCAAUGAAUUGCACUUUGGACUUCUAAUCCAAAGGUCGUGGGUUUGAAUCCCACCUGGGAUG